AGGAGGUGGGGAAAGAAUGUUCCUUCUAGUUGGGUUCCAGUGAAUACAGAUUUUAAAAUCGCCCAUCACGAACUGGGCGAAUGACAGAGCCUGAGAGUUCAAAAUGUCAGGUUUGGGGCUUAAAAGUCAUUUGGGUCUUUUACAUUUAUUUUCAUUUGGAAUCCUGAACAGUGCUCCUUGUGGUGACCUGGUUUCUGUUGUUCCCUGAGAGUGACACUUGGGGAUUAAAAAUAUUGCAUCAGUUUUCAAAAAGUUGACGAACUGCUAAGUGAUUGAAGAAGACUCUAACAGAGAUGAGCUGUGGGCUGAUGGUGAUGGAUUUAAUUCCUGUCUCUGGACGAAAGGUUCUGAGAUUCAGCAGGCUUCAAUCAAUGCCGUCCCUCCGAUGUGAUUAUUUUCACCCCAAGUGGCCGAGCUGGGAAUCAAACUGCAAUCUGUUUUAUGUGACGAGAAUCUGUAAGCAAUUGCUCUGCUGGCAGGAAGAAAUGGAGCUUUCUGAUUUAAAAAAUAAAAUAAAAUAACGGUGAUGAUGAA